UUUUAUGGAGAGUUUGAUCCUGGCUCAGGAUGAACGCUGGCGGCGUGCCUAAUACAUGCAAGUCGAGCGAACGGACGAGAAGCUUGCUUCUCUGAUGUUAGCGGCGGACGGGUGAGUAACACGUGGAUAACCUACCUAUAAGACUGGGAUAACUUCGGGAAACCGGAGCUAAUACCGGAUAAUAUUUUGAACCGCAUGGUUCAAAAGUGAAAGACGGUCUUGCUGUCACUUAUAGAUGGAUCCGCGCUGCAUUAGCUAGUUGGUAAGGUAACGGCU
rnacentral:rRNA from 2 species